ACUUUGAGGAAAAGCCUGAGGCAACUGUGUCAUACAGUUGCAAGGUCAAGUGGAUGAAAGGUGAACCAUGUGAAACUAGGAAGAGCUGCCCUUGACUGUGACAAUCAGGAACUCCCUAAAUGUCAACGCUUAGCAAUGGAAUAGCUGGAGAAGAACACUUGCCACCUUAAAAUGAUGCUAUUCUUUUCAGGCAUGGAAAGCCAAGACACUGUGGGGAAAAAAAAAAUAGUUCUACAUGAAGGAUCUCAGUGAAUGCAACCCCAAUGGAAAGAAGGGACCGUCGAAGAAGGAUGUACGUUUCUCUGAAGGGAGGAGAGAACUUCCACUUUGCCUUUGGCCCUGCCUAAAUGCUGACAGACACUGUGGUCUCAAAAGGCUUCCAUAGCCUGGGCAACUCAUGGCGAGAGCCUCAGGUGAUCACUGACAUCAUAGGUAAGUGUUAAUUGUUAAAUUAACAGCAGGAGUCACUGUGCACUUACUCUGCAUGCAGAACCUCUGUCCUUAAUGGGUCGUACUAUGAGAUUUAACUGCAAAACUUGUUCUCAAACAGUUUUUUAUAUUUAGUAUGUGUGUGUGUGUGUGCAAAUAGUUGAAAUCUUUGCUUAAUAUAGAGUUGAUCUGUGUAUAAAGUUAAUUGAAGAUGAAUCUUAAUGGAGAAUGGGACUGGGAACGGGAGGAGGGGAGUGGGAAGAUGGGUAUCAUGGGAAGAAUCACUGUAUUUCUAAAAAUGUACUCAUACAAUUUAUACCCAUUAAAUAAAAGGUUUCUAAAAUCCUAAAAAAUGAUGCUAUUCUAUUAUUUUAAAAAUAUUUAUUUCUGUCAAAGGUGCUUAGUCAAACUGAGCUGACUGGAAGUUGACUUGAAGCUCCGGAAGAGUGGAUUCCAACUUCUUGCCAGAAUGGAGACCCAAAGUCACGGCAGAUCUAGGACUUCCCAACAAAUGUGUGUAGCACUGGGAUCCUAUAGAGGACAUCAGGUAUGCCAUGCGAGACGUUACCAGUUCAGACCACAGAACAGCUAUAUUGAGUUAAAAGCUACAAAUGAUCUCUGAUGCUCUUGGAUUUCAUUGCCUAAUUAAGAUGAGAUAACUGACUUCAAGAGCAGGCUCUCCUGACAGCAUCUCCCAUCUACAGAAAGUAGCCACCACGAUGAUUUACAGGGUGCCAGCAUUCCCUCCAUUAAUGCAUGUUUUUGUUAUGAGAUGAACCUCUGGGAAGUAUUUGACAGGUGAGUGUGUAAGUCCCACAUAAUACAUUUUCUUUCUGACUUUCCUGUUAUACUAAACCUUGAUAUUCCUCUCUCUUAUGUUUUGUCACAGAAUUUGUGGCAUUGUGGUAUCUUACUUUUCUUUAAUGUAGGAAAGUAGUUUGUCCAUAUUUUAAUCAACUAACUAAGUAAACUGCUAGAGCAACUUUUUACUGCUUAGCUCACUAUUAAUUCAAGAAUGCCUGGUAUGUAAACCCAUUUUAUAUUUUAUACAAAUUCACUGCUGUGUCUUAUUUGACAUGCAUUCCUAGAAUGUAUUUUCACACAUUCAGCACACGUUUCUGAAAAUACAGACUGGAACAGUUGUGUGUUUCUUGUGGCAUCCAGUGUAUCUCUCUCCAUAUGGACUUUGUAUUCACCCUCCAUCCCUGAUGGUGUACUAGAAUUCUACUCUAAUUAGGCUCUCAACACUGGUGUGUGGAGGUUCAAGGUGAGAAAAAUAGGCUUCUUUUUACAAAAAAAGUGUCUCUUAUGAGGUCAACAUGGGAUCUUCAAAUAAGAGAAGGUUAAUUUAUUCAGACAUGAUGAGGAAGGCUCAAAGAGAUUUUUGGGGAUUCCAAAUCUUCUUAAAUUGACACAAUUUUUAAACUUGUGAACCUGAAUUCAAUAUAUAUUUAACUGCAAGUGACAAUAUACUCUUAUUUCAUAAACUAAAAAAAAAGGAAUGGAGAGGAGAAUAGGAGGACCUUGUGGUACUGGUAGUGCUUUGUUCUUAAUUUUGGGUGCUGGUUAUGAGUGUGAUCAGAUAAAAAACUCACUUAUUCGUACACUUCCGUGCAUUUUUG
ensembl:lncRNA